AGUGAACGCUGGCGGUAGGCCUAACACAUGCAAGUCGAACGGCAGCACAGUAAGAGCUUGCUCUUACGGGUGGCGAGUGGCGGACGGGUGAGGAGUACAUCGGAAUCUACUUUUUCGUGGGGGAUAACGUAGGGAAACUUACGCUAAUACCGCAUACGACCUACGGGUGAAAGCAGGGGGUCUUCGGACCUUGCGCGAUUGAAUGAGCCGAUGUCGGAUUAGCUAGUUGGCGGGGUAAAGGCCCACCAAGGCGACGAUCCGUAGCUGGUCUGAGAGGAUGAUCAGCCACACUGGAACUGAGACACGGUCCAGACUCCUACGGGAGGCAGCAGUGGGGAAUAUUGGACAAUGGGCGCAAGCCUGAUCCAGCCAUACCGCGUGGGUGAAGAAGGCCUUCGGGUUGUAAAGCCCUUUUGUUGGGAAAGAAAAGCAGCAGGUUAAUACCCCGCUGUUCUGACGGUACCCAAAGAAUAAGCACCGGCUAACUUCGUG
rnacentral:rRNA from 1 species